UACGUAGGUGGCAAGCGUUAUCCGGAUUUAUUGGGCGUAAAGGGAACGCAGGCGGUCUUUUAAGUCUGAUGUGAAAGCCUUCGGCUUAACCGGAGUAGUGCAUUGGAAACUGGGAGACUUGAGUGCAGAAGAGGAGGGUGGAACUCCAUGUGUAGCGGUGAAAUGCGUAGAUAUAUGGAAGAACACCAGUGGCGAAAGCGGCUCUCUGGUCUGUAACUGACGCUGAGGUUCGAAAGCGUGGGUAGCAAACAGG
rnacentral:rRNA from 1 species